CUGAUCCACCCACACUGCUGCAGACAUCUAAGGAAGUGCUGGUGGUCUUGUGCAAGCGUCAGAUACUUAAAGAACUGUGUGGUAUCUCGUUGGGCAAGCAAAAUCCCCUAUACUGCAAGACUGCAAAACCAGAAGGGAAUAGAGCAGAACCAGGAGUAGAGCAGACGGAAGCACAUGACAGCUGGUCAAAAAGUUCAAAUGACAAUAAGGGAGAUAGCACACACCAAUGUGAGAAUGUGCACUGCUUCCAGCAAUGUGUUUUAUAUUACCUGGAAGAAUAGAAAAGCAUUAAUGGGAGGAAACAACUUGAUUCUUACUGCCAAUACUACACAAAGCAGAACUUCCAAAUUAUACUUUGACUUCUUGACCAAAGGUGGCAGAUUACUUACCUUAAAAGUCUCAGGGCUUAGUUUUCCAUUUAUUUUACACCCUUAGUGGGACUGCAUUGGCAUAAAACAAUG